rnacentral:rRNA from 1 species
ACCACGGGAGGCAGCAGUGAGGAAUAUUGGUCAAUGGGCGCGAGCCUGAACCAGCCAAGUAGCGUGAAGGAUGACCGCCCUACGGGUUGUAAACUUCUUUUAUAUGGGAAUAAAGUUUUCCACGUGUGGAAUUUUGUAUGUACCAUAUGAAUAAGGAUCGGCUAACUCCGUGCCAGCAGCCGCGGUAAUACGGAGGAUCCGAGCGUUAUCCGGAUUUAUUGGGUUUAAAGGGAGCGUAGGUGGAUUGUUAAGUCAGUUGUGAAAGUUUGCGGCUCAACCGUAAAGUUGCAGUUGAAACUGGCAGU